rnacentral:rRNA from 3 species
GGACUACUGGGGUAUCUAAUCCCGUUCGCUACCCUGGCCUUCGUGUUUCAGCGUCAGAUUCUGCCCAGAGUCUUGCCUUCGCAAUAAGUGUUCCUUUCGAUAUCUACGCAUUUCACUGCUACACCGAAAAUUCCAGACUCCUCUACAGACCUCCAGCAUGGCAGUAUCGGAUGCUAUUCGGGGGUUGAGCCCCCGGAUUUCACAUCUGACUUUCCACGCCGCCUACACACCCUUUACGCCCAGUGAUUCCGAACAACGCUUGAGACCUCUGUAUUACCGCGGCUGCUGGCAC